rnacentral:rRNA from 1 species
CAGUAGCCACGGUAACACGAAGGGGGCUAGCGUUGUUCGGAUUUACUGGGCGUAAAGCGCACGUAGGCGGAUCCUUAAGUCAGAGGUGAAAUCCCAAGGCUCAACCUUGGAACUGCCUUUGAUACUGGGGAUCUCGAGUUCGGGAGAGGUGAGUGGAACUGCGAGUGUAGAGGUGAAAUUCGUAGAUAUUCGCAAGAACACCGGUGGCGAAGGCGGCAACCUGGUCCUUGACUGACGCUGAGGCGCGAAAGCGUGGGGAGCAAACAGGAUUAGAUACCCCAGUAGUCCCUGUCUCUUAUAC